GAAAUUUGAGAGGACCUGUCCUUAGUACGAGAGGACCGGGAUGGACAUACCGCUGGUGUACCAGUUGUUCCGCCAGGAGCACCGCUGGGUAGCUAUGUAUGGACGAGAUAAACGCUGAAAGCAUCUAAGUGUGAAACUCGCCUCGAGAUGAGAUUUCCCAUUUCCUUCGGGAAAGUAAGACCCCUCAGAGAUGAUGAGGUAGAUAGGAUGGAAGUGGAAGUGCCGUGAGGCAUGGAGCGGACCAUUACUAAUCGGUCGAGGACUUAACCAAG
rnacentral:rRNA from 1 species